GAUGAAGAACGUAGUGAAAUGCGAUAAGUAAUGUGAAUUGCAGAAUUCAGUGAAUCAUCGAAUCUUUGAACGCACCUUGCGCUCCUUGGUAUUCCGAGGAGCAUGCCUGUUUGAGUGUCAUGAAAUUCUCAACCUUUCUGGCUUUUGCUAGUCAGGCUUGGAUUAUGGGAGCUGCUGGCUUUUGAAGUCGGCUCUUCUAAAAUGUAUUAGCAAGAUCAUUGCUGCUCACCAUUGGUAUGAUAAUUAUCUAUAUCAUUGAGAGUCAGUUUCCUUUAUUGGAAGAUUUUGCUCCUAACGGUCUUUAGCAAGACAACAUUUGACGAUUUUGACCUCAUAUCAGGUAGGACUACCCGCUGAACUUAAGCAUAUCAAUAAGCGGAGGA
rnacentral:misc_RNA from 1 species